rnacentral:lncRNA from 1 species
CUUUAAAUUGAUUUUGCUUUGCCAGGCAUGGUGGUGCACACCUGUCAUCCCAGCUCGGGGGAGGCUGAGGCAGGAGGAUCCCUGUGAAUUCGAGGCCAGCCUGGGCUACACAGCAAGACCCUGUCUCAGAAAACAAAUGAGCAGAAGAGCUUGUCUUGGGAGCCUGACUACUUUGCUGGCUGGCCUCACCCUCAGCGCACUUGGGCCAGGCGCCUUGGAGCAGGGAGAGCUGGAACCUCUGCCCAGGAUCCACAUUGCCAUUCGCCGGCAGAAUUUCUUCUUCAUCAGGGAAACCUCUUUUGUUCUUUUUUUUUCACCGGGAACUGAACCCAGGGCCUUUGCCCCGAGCUCCAUGUCCAGCCCUCUUUUUUUCUUCUUUUCUUAUUUUGAGAUCUUACUAAGAAGCUAAGUUGCUGGAGCUGGACUCAAACUGGAUCCUCCUGCCUCAGCCUCCCAGAGUGCUGGUACAACAGGCCUGUGCCAUCCCAUCCGGGCCCUUUGUGUUCUUAAGGCCUUGUAACGGCUGGAUGACACCACCCAGACUUCAAGGGUCAACCCUUUGACGGGAGCGGCCGAGCCAGCAUGUGACGAAAACCCACGCCUCGCUUGCACGUGUUGGCAGGGACCCCUGGACACUGUCCUAUCCCUCGGGCUCUGGCACGGCACUGGUGUCAUUGAGAACAGGGGCCGGUGCUGGGCCGGUCGCUGCAAGUCGGGGCUGAGCUGCAGUUGCCUGCUGGAGGGCGGCCACUCCUCGGGCCUCCAGGAAACUGAGAAGCACAGCCCGCCCUCCGAGCAGCCACUUCCACUCAGCACGGCCGCCUCGGCCACUAAGGCUCACAGAGCCUGCAGCACCUGCCCUACCCUCUGGUCACUUCUAUUCUGCAGCUCCUGUCCCUCCUUAAAGGAGAGACUUCAAAACGGCCAGUCCACCCUUGGUUCUUCUGUGUCUGCUUUUUUGUUGUUUUUUUGUUUUUUUGAGACAGGAUCUCGCUGUAUAGCCCAGGCUGGCCUGGAACUCACAGCGACCUCCUGCCUCAGCCUCCCAAGCGUUGAGAUGACAGGCAUGUGCCACCAUGCCCGGCUGUUUCUGCUUCAUUCAGGACCUGUGAGCCCUGCCUACUCCCACAGCUCGACAGCUCUGGCCUCAGCUGCCCAGCACAGCUUCCUGUCGCGACUUCCAAGCCUGUGUGGCCCCUGGGUGCAGCUGGCACUCGGGAGGAGAAGGAUGGAGGGGAGCAGAGGGCGAGGGGACCCGGAGCAUGGACGUCGGCCCCACUGGCUUCCGAGGCCAGCAGGUGUGGGUCCAGGCGGGUGGGCAGCCAGGGAGGCGGAAGCACCUCAGUCACAGGGGCUCCAGCGGGCCCAGGAGAUAGGCACCUGGAGCUGCAGGGCGGAGAUAUCAG